AGUCGAACGGCAGCACAGGAGAGCUUGCUCUCUGGGUGGCGAGUGGCGGACGGGUGAGGAAUACAUCGGAAUCUGCCUAUACGUGGGGGAUAACGUAGGGAAACUUACGCUAAUACCGCAUACGUCCUACGGGAGAAAGCGGGGGAUCGCAAGACCUCGCGCGGAUAGAUGAGCCGAUGUCCGAUUAGCUAGUUGGCGGGGUAAUGGCCCACCAAGGCGACGAUCGGUAGCUGGUCUGAGAGGAUGAUCAGCCACACUGGAACUGAGACACGGUCCAGACUCCUACGGGAGGCAGCAGUGGGGAAUAUUGGACAAUGGGCGCAAGCCUGAUCCAGCCAUGCCGCGUGGGUGAAGAAGGCCUUCGGGUUGUAAAGCCCUUUUGUUGGGAAAGAAAACUUUCCGGUCAAUACCCGGAGAGAAUGACGGUACCCAAAGAAUAAGCACCGGCUAACUUCGUGCCAGCAGCCGCGGUAAUACGAAGGGUGCAAGCGUUACUCGGAAUUACUGGGCGUNAAGCGUGCGUAGGUGGUUCGUUAAGUCUGAUGUGAAAGCCCUGGGCUCAACCUGGGAAUGCAUUGGAAACUGGCGGGCUAGAGUACGGU
rnacentral:rRNA from 1 species